rnacentral:tRNA from 1 species
GGGGCCGGAGCUCGGAUGGCAGAGCAACGAUCUCUAAAAUCGGAUGCGCGGGUUCGAACCCCGUCGGCCGCC